UACGAAGGGGGCUAGCGUUGUUCGGAAUUACUGGGCGUAAAGCGCACGUAGGCGGAUUGUUAAGUUAGGGGUGAAAUCCCAGGGCUCAACCCUGGAACUGCCUCUAAUACUGGCAAUCUUGAGUUCGAGAGAGGUGAGUGGAAUUCCGAGUGUAGAGGUGAAAUUCGUAGAUAUUCGGAGGAACACCAGUGGCGAAGGCGGCUCACUGGCUCGAUACUGACGCUGAGGUGCGAAAGCGUGGGGAGCAAACAGG
rnacentral:rRNA from 1 species